rfam:Thermoplasmatales archaeon SCGC AB-540-F20 MBGDF03_Contig69.69, whole genome shotgun sequence.
GCCGUCUUAGCUCAGUUGGUAGAGCACUCGGCUGUUAACCGAGCGGUCGCCGGUCCGAGUCCGGCAGACGGCG